AACAGCCAUUAUGCAUUUGUGAGUGUAACCUAACCCCCUCCCCCCUGAGAGAACAAGAGAGUUGCUGUGGGCCCCUAUUAUCCCUUUUGAUAAGUCAGGCAAUCCACCACAUAAUUUUCCUUUCAAAUGCAAGACGAAUAUACUUGUCAAUGCAAGGGGAGAGCUUUGGCACUCUAUGGGUUGACCAGUAUAUGCCUAUGCAUCCUGUUAAGCCUUUGAUAAGUCUGAAUGCAAUACAAUGCACCCUACUUUAUUCUGUCUAAUGGCAAAUUUUAUUUGUGAAGGGGAGAGUGCUGAAUGAGUUGACCUGCACCCUGAUGUGCCCUACUUUUAGUAUUUUACUCUGUCUUAUGCCAGAGUAUUUUACUCUGUCUAACGCCAGAUGAUUUUACUCAUCAAGUGGAGAGUGCUGCCCCUCGAUGGAUGGAUGAAUGGAAUAUUAUACUAAUUGCUUU